GAGAGUUACAGUUCUUACAUAAUUUGUUUAGCAGGUUUUCUGGUCUUCGCAGGAACUUCCCCU
rnacentral:snRNA from 1 species